rnacentral:rRNA from 1 species
GACGAACGCUGGCGGCGUGCUUAACACAUGCAAGUCGAGCGGUAAGGCCCUUUCGGGGGUACGACGAGCGGCGAACGGGUGAGUAACACGUGGGUGACCUGCCCUCAGCUCUGGGAGUAAGCCUGGGAAACUGGGUCGUAAUACCGGAUAUGACUCCAUGACGCAUGUUGGUGGGGUGGAAAGCCUUGUGCGGCUGAGGAUGGGCCCGCGGCCUAUCAGCUUGUUGGUGGGGUGAGGCCUACCAAGGCGACGACGGGUAGCCGGCCUGAGAGGGCGACCGGCCACACUGGGACUGAGACACGGCCCAGACUCCUACGGGAGGCAGCAGUGGGGAAUCUUGCGCAAUGGGCGAAAGCCUGACGCAGCGACGCCGCGUGAGGGAUGACGG